GCGGCCUUGGUGGAACUGGUAGACACGCUAGCUUGAGGUGCUAGUGCGGAGACGCAUGGAAGUUCAAGUCUUCUAGGCCGCA
rnacentral:tRNA from 1 species